rnacentral:rRNA from 1 species
AGAGUUUGAUCCUGGCUCAGGACGAACGCUGGCGGCGUGCUUAACACAUGCAAGUCGAGCGAGAUCUUUCGGGGUCUAGCGGCGAACGGGUGAGUAACACGUGGGCAACCUGCCUUCCGCUCUGGGAUAGCCUCCGGAAACGGGGAUUAAUACCGGAUAGGACCUCCUGGGGCAUCCUGGGGGGUGGAAAGUUUUUCGGCGGGAGAGGGGCUCGCGGCCUAUCAGCUUGUUGGGGGGGCGGCGGCCCACCAAGGCUUUGACGGGUAGCCGGCCUGAGAGGGCGACCGGCCACACUGGGACUGAGACACGGCCCAGACUCCUACGGGAGGCAGCAGUGGGGAAUAUUGCGCAAUGGGCGGAAGCCUGACGCAGCGACGCCGCGUGGGGGAUGAAGGCCUUCGGGUUGUAAACCUCUUUCACCAGGGGCGAAGGUGACGGUACCUGGGGAAGAAGCGCCGGCUAACUACGUGCCAGCAGCCGCGGUAAUACGUAGGGCGCGAGCGUUGUCCGGAUUUAUUGGGCGUAAAGAGCUCGUAGGCGGCCUGUCGCGUCUGCUGUGAAAUCCCGGGGCUUAACUCCGGGCGUGCAGUGGAUACGGGCUGGCUGGAGGCAGGCAGGGGAGAACGGAAUUCCCGGUGUAGCGGUGAAAUGCGCAGAUAUCGGGAGGAACACCGGUGGCGAAGGCGGUUCUCUGGGCCUGUCCUGACGCUGAGGAGCGAAAGCGUGGGGAGCGAACAGGAUUAGAUACCCUGGUAGUCCACGCCGUAAACGUUGGGCGCUAGGUGUGGGGUCCUUCCACGGAUUCCGUGCCGCAGCUAACGCAUUAAGCGCCCCGCCUGGGGAGUACGGCCGCAAGGCUAAAACUCAAAGGAAUUGACGGGGGCCCGCACAAGCGGCGGAGCAUGUUGCUUAAUUCGAUGCGACGCGAAGAACCUUACCAAGGUUUGACAUGGCCGGAAAUCCUCCAGAGAUGGGGGGUCCUUCGGGGCCGGUCACAGGUGGUGCAUGGCUGUCGUCAGCUCGUGUCGUGAGAUGUUGGGUUAAGUCCCGCAACGAGCGCAACCCUCGUCCCAUGUUGCCAGCGGGUGAUGCCGGGGACUCAUGGGAGACUGCCGGGGUCAACUCGGAGGAAGGUGGGGAUGACGUCAAGUCAUCAUGCCCCUUAUGUCUUGGGCUGCAAACAUGCUACAAUGGCCGGUACAGGGCGCUGCGAGCCCGUGAGGGUGAGCGAAUCGCGGAAAGCCGGUCUCAGUUCGGAUCGGGGUCUGCAACCCGGCCCCGUGAAGUCGGAGUCGCUAGUAAUCGCGGAUCAGCAAUGCCGCGGUGAAUACGUUCCCGGGCCUUGUACACACCGCCCGUCACACCACGAAAGUUGGCAACACCCGAAGUCGGUGGGCGAACCCGCAAGGGAUGCAGCCGCCGAAGGUGGGGUCAAUGAUUGGGGUGAAGUCGUAACAAGGUAGCCGUAUCGGAAGGUGCGGCUG